UCCGGUAUGGUCUAGUGGCUAGGAUACCUGGCUCUCACCCAGGAGGCUCGGGUUUGAUUCCCGGUACCGGAA
rnacentral:tRNA from 1 species